CAACUUCAUCCGCCGGACUCGGAAUGCCGCGAGACUUUGCGAGGGGCCUCCGUGUGCCAAAAAUAGGCCGCGGGCAAAGCCGCGCCAAAAAAUAACUGCCCGAAGGCCGGGGCGCCAAGUUCGUCCGGCGGAGAAAGGCCACAAAAACGUUCGUCCGCCGGACUCGGAAUGCCGCGAGACUUUGCGACGGGCCUUCGUGUGCCAAAAAUAGGCCGUGGGAUGUUUAAAAGGUUCGUGGUUAAAAAUUUUAUGUUAUCUAGUGAUAAAAUUUUGUAGUGCAUUUUAUAGAUAGGUAGCAGCAGCAAGUUCCGGGGCGCCAAGUUCGUCCAGCGGAAAAAGUCCACAAAAACGGGUGGGCUAUAGCCUUGGGGGGUGAUGCUGGCCAACUUCGUCCGCCGGACUCGGAAUGCCGCGAGACUUUACGAGGGGCCUCCGUGUGCCAAAAAUAGGCCGCGGGCAAAGCCGUGCCCAAAAAUAACCGCCCGACGGCCGGGGCGCCAAGUUCUCCCAGCGGAAAAAGGCCACAAAAACUGCUGGGCUAUAGCCUUGGGGGGUGGGGCUGGCCCACUUCGUCCGCUGGACUCGGAAUGCCGCGAGACUUUGAGAGGGGCCUCCGUGUGCCAAAAAUAGGCCGCGGGCAAAGCCGCGCAAAAAAAUAACCGCCUGAAGGCCGGGGCGCCAAGUUCGUCCGGCGGAAAAAGGCCACAAAAACGGGUGGGCUAUAGCCUUGGGGGGUGGGGAUGGCCAACUUCGUCCGCCGGACUCGGAAUGCCGCGAGACUUUGCGAGGGGCCUCCGUGUGCCAAAAAUAGGCCGCGGGCAAAGCCGCGCCACAAAAUAACUGCCCGAAGCUGGGGCGCCAAGUUCGUCCGGCGGAGAAAGGCCACAAAAACGUUCGUCCGCCGGACUCGGAAUGCCGCGAGACUUUGCGAGGGGCCUUCGUGUGCCAAAAAUAGGCCGUGGGAUGUUUAAAAGGUUCGUGGUUAAAAAUUUUAUGUUAUCUAGUGAUAAAAUUUUGUAGUGCAUUUUAUAGAUAGGUAGCAGCAGCAAGUUCCGGGGCGCCAAGUUCGUCCAGCGGAAAAAGGCCACAAAACGGGUGGGCUAUAGCCUUGGGGGUGGGUCUGGCCCACUUCGNNNNNNNNNNNNNNNNNNNNNNNNNNNNNNNNNNNNNNNNNNNNNNNNNNNNNNNNNNNNNNNNNNNNNNNNNNNNNNNNNNNNNNNNNNNNNNNNNNNNNNNNNNNNNNNUUCGUCCAGCGGAAAAAGGCCACAAAAACGGAUGGGCUAUAGCCUUGGGGGGUGGGGUUGCCCAACUUCGUCCGCCGGACUUGGAAUGCCGUGAGACUUUGCGAGGGGCCUCCGUGUGCCAAAAAUAGGCCGCGGGCAAAGCCGCGCCCAAAAUUAACCGCCCGAAGGCCGGGGCGCCAAGUUCUCCCAGCGGAAAAAGGCCACAAAAACGGGUGGGCUAUAGCCUUGGGGGGUGGGGCUGGCCAGCUUCGUCCGCCGCACUCGGAAUGCCGCGAGACUUUGCGAGGGGCCUCCGUGUACCAAAAAUAGGCCGCGGGCAAAGCCGCACCCAAAAUUAACUGCCCAAAGGCCGGGGCGCCAAGUUCGUCCAGCGGAAAAAGGCCACAAAAACUGGUGGGCUAUAGCCUUGGGGGGUGGGGCUGGCCAACUUCGUCCGCCGGACUCGGAAUGCCGCGAGACUUUGCGAGGGGCCUCCGGGUGCCAAAAAUAUGCCGCGGGCAAAGCCGCGCCCAAAAAUAACCGCCCGACGGCUGGGGUGCCAAGUUCGUCCAGCGGAAAAAGGCCACAAAAACGGGUGGGCUAUAGCCUUGGGGGGUGGGGUUGCCCAACUUCGUCCGCCGGACUUGGAAUGCCGUGAGACUUUGCGAGGGGCCUCCGUGUGCCAAAAAUAGGCCGCGGGCAAAGCCGCGCCCAAAAUUAACCGCCCGAAGGCCGGGGCGCCAAGUUCUCCCAGCGGAAAAAGGCCACAAAAACGGGUGGGCUAUAGCCUUGGGGGGUGGGGCUGGCCAACUUCGUCCGCCGGACUCGGAAUGCCGCGAGACUUUGCGAGGGGCCUCCGUGUGCCAAAAAUAGGCCGCGGGCAAAGCCGCACCGAAAAAUAACCACCCGACGGCUGGGGUGCCAAGUUCGUCCAGCGGAAAAAGGCCACAAAAACGGGUGGGCUAUAGCCUUGGGGGAUGGGGUUGCCCAACUUCGUCCGCCGGACUCGGAAUGCCGCGAGACUUUUCGAGGGGCCUCCGUGUGCCAAAAAUAGGCCGCGGGUAAAGCCGCGCCCAAAAUUAACUGCCCGAAGGCCGGAGCGCCAAGUUCUCCCAGCGGAAAAAGGCCACAAAAACGGGUGGGCUAUAGCAUGGGGGGGUGAUGCUGGCCACUUCGUCGCUGGAUUCGGAAAUGCCGCGAGACUUUGCGAGGGGCUCGUGUGCCCAAAAAUAGGCCGCGGGCAAAGCCGCGCCCAAAAAUAACCGCCCGACGGCCGGGGCGCCAAGUUCGUCCAGCGGAAAAAGGCCACAAAAACGGGUGGGCUAUAGCCUUGGGGGGUGGGGCUGGCCAACUUCGUCCGCCGGACUCGGAAUGCCGCGAGACUUUGCGAGGGGCCUCCGUGUGCCAAAAAUAGGCCGUGGGAUGUUUUAAAGGUUCGUGGUUCAAAAUUUUAUGUUAUCUAGUGAUAAAAUUUUUUAGUGCAUUUUAUAGAUAGGUAGCAGCAGCAAGUUCAAGGGCGCCAAGUUCGUCCAGCGGAAAAAGGCCACAAAAACGGGUGGGCUAUAGCCUUGGGGGGUGAUGCUGGCCAACUUCCUCCGCCGGACUCGGAAUGCCGCGAGACUUUGCGAGGGGCCUCCGUGUGCGAAAAAUAGGCCGCGGGCAAAGCCGCGCCCAAAAAUAACCGCCCGAAGGCCGGGGUGCCAAGUUCGUCCAGCGGAAAAAGGCCACAAAAUCGGGCGGGCUAUAUCCUUGGGGGCUGGGGCUGGCCAACUUCGUCUGCCGGACUCGGAAUGCCGCGAGACUUUGCGAGGGGCCUCCGUGUGCGAAAAAUAGGCCGGGGGCAAAGCCGCGCCCAAAAAUAACCGCCUGAAGGCCGGGGCGCCAAGUUCGUCCAGCGGAAAAAGGCCACAAAAACGGGUGGGCUAUAGCCUUGGGGGGUGGGGCUGGCCAACUUCGUCCGUCGGACUCGGAAUUGCGCGAGACUUUGCGAGGGGCCUCCGUGUGCCAAAAAUAGGCCGCGCGCAAAGCCGCGCCCAAAAAUAACCGCCCGAAGGCCGGGGCGCCAAGUUCGNNNNNNNNNNNNNNNNNNNNNNNNNNNNNNNNNNNNNNNNNNNNNNNNNNNNNNNNNNNNNNNNNNNNNNNNNNNNNNNNNNNNNNNNNNNNNNNNNNNNCCGCCGGACUCGGAAUGCCACGAGACUCUGCGAGGGGCCUCCGUGUGCCAAAAAUAGGCCACGGGCAAAGCCGCGCCCAAAAAUAACCGCCCGAAGGCGGGGGCGCCAAGUUCGUCCAACGGAAAAAGGCCACAAAAACGGGUGGGCUAUAGCCUUGGGGGGUGAUGCUGGCCAACUUCGUCCGCCGGACUCGGAAUGCCGCAAGACUUUGCGAGGGUCCGCCGUGUACCAAAAAUAGGCCACGGGCAAAGCCGCGCCGAAAAUUAACCGCCCGAAGGCCGGGGCGCCAAGUUCGUCCAGCAGAAAAAGGUCACAAAAACGGGUGGGCUAUAGCCUUGGGGGUUGAUGCUGGCCAACUUCGUCCGCCGGACUCAGAAUGCCGCGAGACUUUGCGAGGGGCCUCCGUGUGCCAAAAAUAGGCCGCGGGCAAAGCCACGCACAAAAAUAACCACCCGACGGCCGGGGCGCCAAGUUCGUCCAGCGGAAAAAGGCCACAAAAACGGGUGGGCUAUAGCCUUGGGGGGUGAUACUGGCCAACUUCGUCCGCCGGACUCGGAAUGCCGCGAGACUUUGCGAGGGGUCUCCGUGUACCAAAAAUAGGCCGCGGGCAAAGCCGCGCCGAAAAAUAACCGCCCCACGGCCGGGGCACCAAGUUCGUCCAGCGGAAAAAGGCCACAAAAACGGGUGGGCUAUAGCCUUGGGGGGUGGGGCUGGCCAACUUCGUCCGCCGGACUCGGAAUGCCGUGAGCCUUUGCGAGGGGCUUCCGUAUGCCAAAAAUAGGCUACGAGCAAAGCCGCGCCCAAAAAUAUCCGCCCGACGGCCAGGGCGCCAAGUUCGUCCAGCGGAAAAAGGCCACAAAACCGGGUGGGCUAUAGCCUUGGGGGGUGGGCUGGCCCACUUCGUCGCCGGACUCGGAAUGCCGAGAGAUUUGCGAGGAGCCUCAUGUGCCACAAAUAGGCNNNNNNNNNNNNNNNNNNNNNNNNNNNNNNNNNNNNNNNNNNNNNNNNNNNNNNNNNNNNNNNNNNNNNNNNNNNNNNNNNNNNNNNNNNNNNNNNNNNNNNNNNNNNNNNNNNNNNNNNNNNNNNNNNNNNAGACUUUGCGAGGGGCCUCCUUGUCCCUUAAAUAAGCCGCGGGCAAAGCUACGCCAAAUAUUAACCGUCCGAAGGCCGGGGCGCUAAAAUCGUCCAGCGGAAAAAGGCCACAAAAACGGGUGGGCUAUAGCCUUGGGGGGUGGGGCUGGCCAACUUCGUCCGCCGGACUCGGAAUGCCGUGAGACUUUGCAAGGGGACUCCGUGUGCCAAAAAUAGGCCGUGGGAUGUUUAAAAGGUUCGUGGUUCAAAAUUUUAUGUUAUCUAGUGAUAAAAUUUUGUAGUGCAUUUUAUAGAUAGGUAGCAGCAGCAAGUUCCGGGGUGCCAAGUUCGUCCAGCGGAAAAAGGCCACAAAAACGGGUGGGCUAUAGCCUUGGGGGGUGGGGCUGGCCAACUUCGUCCGCCGGACUGGGAAUACCGCGAGACUUUAGGAGGGGCCUCCGUGUGCCAAAACUAGGCCGCGGGCAAAGCUGCGCCCAAAAAUAACCGCCCGAAGGCCGGGGCGCCAAGUUCGUCCAGCGGAAAAAGGCCACAAAAACGGGUGGGCUAUAGCGUUGGGGGGUGGGGCUGGCCAACUUCUUCCGCCGGACUCGGACUGCCGCGAGACUUUGCAAGGGGCCUCCGUGUGCCAAAAAUAGGCCGCGGGCAAAUCCGCGCCCAAAAAUAACCGCCCGACGGCCGGGGCGCCAAGUUCGUCCCGCGGAAAAAGGCCACAAAAACGGGUGGGCUAUAGCCUUGGGGGGUGAUGCUGGCCAACUUCGUCCGCCGGACUCGGAAUGCCGCGAGACUUUACGAGGUGUUUCUCUGUGCCAAAAUUAGGCUGCGGCCAAAGCCGCGCCCAAAAAUAACAACCCGACGGCCAGGGCGCCUAGUUCGUCCGGCGGAAAAAGGCCACAAAAACGGGUGGGCUAUAGCCUUGGGGGGUGAUGCUGGCCAACUUCGUCCGCCGGACUCGGAAUGCUACGAGACUUUGCGAGGGGCUUCCGUGUGCCAAAAAUAGGCCGCGGCAAAGCCGCGCCCAAAAAUAACUGCCCGAAGGCCGGGGCGCCAUGUUCGUCCAGCGGAAAAAGGCCACAAAAACGGGUGGGCUAUAGCCUUGGGGGGUGGGGCUGGCCGACUUCGUCCGCCGGACUCGGAAUGGCGCGAGACUUUGCGAGGGGCCUCCGUGUGCCAAAAAUAGGCCGCGGGCACAGCCGCGCCCAAAAAUAACCGCCGGAAGGCCGGGGCGCCAAGUUCGUCCAGCGGAAAAAGGCCACAAAAACGGGUGGGCUAUAACCUUGGGGGUGGGGCUGGCCCACUUCGUCCGCCGGACUCGGAAUGCCGCGAGACUUUGCGAGGGGCCUCCGUGUGCCAAAAAUAGGCCGCGGGCAAUGCCGCAUCCAAAAAUAACCGCCCGAAGGCCGGGGCGCCAAGUUCGUCCAGCGGAAAAAGGCCACAAAAACGGGUGGGCUAUAGCCUUGGGGGGUGAUGUUGGCCAACUUCGUCCGCCGGACUCGGAAUACCGCGAGACUUUGCAAGGGGCCUCCGUGUGCUAAAAAUAGGCCGCGGGCAAAGCCGCGGCCAAAAAUAACCGCCCGACGGCCGGGGCGCCAAGUUCGUCCAGCGGAAAAAGGGCACAAAAACGAGUGGGCUAUAGCCUUGGGGGGUGAUGCUGGCCAACUUCGUCCGCCGGACUCGGAAUGCCGCGAGACUUUGCGAGGGGCCUCCGUGUGCCAAAAAUAGGCCGCGGGCAAAGCCGCGUCCAAAAGUAACUGCCCGAAGGCCGGGGCGCCAAGUUCGUCCAGCGGAAAAAGGCCACAAAAACGGGUGGGCUAUAGCCUUGGGGGGUGAUGUUGGCCAACUUCGUCCGCCGGACUGGGAAUGCCGCGAGACUUGCCAAGGGGCCUCCGUGUGCUAAAAAUAGGCCGCGGGCAAAGCCGCGGCCAAAAAUAACCGCCCGACGGCCGGGGCGCCAAGUUCGUCCAGCGGAAAAAGGCCACAAAAACGGGCGGGCUAUAGCCUUGGGGGGUGGGGCUGGCCAACUUCGUCCGCCGGACUCGGAAUGCCGCGAGACUUUACGAGGGGCCUCCGUGUGCGAAAAAUAGGCUGCGGGCAAAGCCGCGCCCAAAAAUAACCGCCCGAAGGCCGGGCCGCCAAGUUCGUCCAGCGGAAGAAGGCCACAAAAAUGGGUGGGCUAUAGCCUUGGGGGGUGGGGCUGGCCAACUUCGUCCGCCGGACUCGGAAUGCCGCGAGACUUUAUGAGGGGCCUCUGCGAGCCAAAAAUAGGCUGCGGGCAAAGCCGCGUCCAAAUAUAACCCCCCGAAGGCCGGGCCGCCAAGUUCGUCCAGCGGAAAAAGGCCACAAAAACGGGUGGGCUAUAGCCUUGGGGGGUGGGGCUGGCCAACUUUGUCUGCCGGACUCUGAUUGCCGCGAGACUUUGCGAGGGGCCUCCGUAUACCAAAAAUAGGCCGCGGGCAAAUCCGCACCCAAAAAUAACCGGCCGAAGGCCGGGGCGCCAAGUUCGCCCAGCGGAAAAAGGCCACAAAAAUGGGUGGGCUAUAGCCUUGUGGGGUGGGGCUGGCCCACUUCGUCUGCCGGACUCAGAAUGCCACGAGACUUUGCGAGGGUCCUCCGUGUGCCAAAAAUAGGCCGCGGGCAAUGCCGCGCUAAAAAAUAACCGACCGAAGGCCGGGGCGCCAAGUUCGUCCAGCGGAAAAAGGCCACAAAAACGGGUGGGCUAUAGCCUUGUGGGUGGGGCUGGCCAACUUCGUCCGCCGGACUCGGAAUGCCGCGAGACUUUGCGUUGGGCCUCCGUGUGCAAAAAAUGGGCCGUGGGAUGUUUAAAAGGUUCGUGGUUGAAAAUUUUAUGUUAUCUAGUGAUAAAAUUUUGUAGUGCAUUUUAUAGAUAGGUAGCAGCAGCAAGUUCCGGGGCGCCAAGUUCGUCCAGCGGAAAAAGGCCACAAAAACGGGUGGGCUAUAGCCUUGGGGGGUGAUGCUGGCCAACUUCGUCCGCCGGACUCGGAAUGCCGCGAGACUUUGCGAGG
rnacentral:lncRNA from 1 species